UGUGUACUCCCUCCGUUCGGAAUUACUUGUCGUAGAAAUGGAUGUAUCUAGACAUUUUUUAGUUCUAGAUACAUCCAUUUCUGCGACAAGUAAUUCGGGACGGAGGGAGUAUUAU
rnacentral:pre_miRNA from 1 species